AUGGCCCUGAUUUUCCUGGCCGCGCAGGAGGAACUGGCAGACUUUGGUCAUGCCCAAAAGGACUCUGUGUUCCAGCUCCCAGCAGGGAUGACUAAGUACUCUGUGUGCCAGCUCCCAGCAGGAAGUACGGUCCAGGUAGGAUACCACACAACUCUGCCCUGCAACUUCUCCACCAGCUCUGCCAAUCCCUACAUCUCCUGGUACCAGCAGCACAAGACCCAGACCCCUCAGAUGCUGCUGCAGGUGGAGAAAUGGAAGCCUUGGGUGGAUUCAGGGAGGUUCUGCUCUGAACUGUCUGUGGAGCUCUCCCAGGUGCUUCUGGGUGUGCAGGGUAUGGAGCUCCAGGACAGUGCUGCCUAUUGGGAAAUAGAUUAA